ensembl:lncRNA
CUGCUAGUGUGCCGAAGAACACCUGUGUGUAAGCUAACUGUGCAGGAAGAGUAGUUCAUCAACUGGAGGCACACACAGUGUAUGGAUCUGUGCAAAUUUGCUUAAGAAGAAGAAAAUAAGGAAGAUCCAGAGCUGACUGACCCAUGUGGACUUACGGAUGAUGAACUCAAGGCCAAACUGCUCAAAUAUUUAGUCGAAGCUAGACCCAUUGUAGCCACCACCAGGUCUAUCUAUGAGAGGAAGCUAAAAGGCUACUAGAACCUACCCAGCCCAGACAGAAUGGUGGCACAGGAUAUGCAAACCAGUACUAUGACAGUGAAGAAGAGGAGGAAGAGUGGGGUUCAGAACAAGGAAGACCAGAGCAGUGGAGGAAUAUCAGCAUGCUAAUGAUCAGGUGAGUGAGUUCAUACUAGGAUCUUAUUUUGAGACUUUGACCAAUGAAUAGUGAAUUUCUUAUGCAGCUAUGUCAUUCUCCUCAAGUAAGGAAAAAUGUUGCCUGCAGUGCCACCUUGUGACAGUAGAUAGGUAUUUCUGUGCCUGAGUUCUAACUGUUGGGUCUCAAUGUCAAAAGAAGUUGUUACAUUUUAGGAUUGGUUCUCAGCUCAGUUAUUUCUUUCUUUUAGCAGAUGGUAUGGCACUCUCAGGAAUAAUAAAAACAUCAGUGUUUUAUGCCAUCGUCGAGAAUGGUAAAUCUGACAACCACCAGUACACUUACUUAUGAAUUAUUCAUAAUUUAAAAUGGGUGAUCAUUUCUGGAGUGUGAUGCUUUUGUGUAAUGGGAUAAUAAUGAUGCUACCCUGGCAGCGGGUCUGGAGAGCUCCAGGCCACUAUGAAUUAAAUCCCAAGAGGAAUGCAGGGAAUCAUGGGAAUGUGGCUGAGUCUUCCAACAGCAGAGGGGAAGUACCGGGGGCAGUUGCCCCCAUCGCCUGUUACUCCUGGGUACAGAGCUGGACUGAGCAGAACAUCCUCUCUGCUAGGACAUACCACAGGAUCAGUGGUAACCCUUCUAGAAAAACUCACUCAUUAACUCUUCAAUGGGAAUGGGAUCUCUGCUCUUCUACUUGCAUUUUUUUCAUCUCACACUCUAAAGCUGGUGCAUAUUUUGGGUUUUAAGGGACAACUUAAGGGAUCAAGGAAGCUGUUGGAGCAUAUUUUUGGAUAACCUGUUAUCGGCUGUGGCUCUGAACAACCGUCUUACUUUAAACCCAUGCAGAUGCAGCCUCUGUCUGUAUCUCUGGGAGGUGGUGGUGAGGAUUCCUCCAAUUCCCCUUCUCAGAGCUUCAGCAUUACUGAGAUGGUAGAGGAGGGAAGUUUGUUUUUAUCAGGUUUUUGUUAUCUAAUCUUGACGAUCACAUCAACAGCCUAAAUAUCUAAUCCCCACUAAAGUUUUGACUAAUGAGUGAUAUGCUGUAUUAACGUUUUCCUCUGGAACCACAGAUUGAGAGUCAAAGCCCUCUCUCCAGUAGUAGAACACAGAAGCACAAUAGGAGUAAAAUUCUGGUUUCUUGGCCAAGGCCCCACCAGGUCAGUAGUACUCACAAACACUUCAGUAAUCUUAUCAGUGACACUGUCACGCCCCGGGCUUAGUAUUCAGUCUUCUCUUUAUUAUUUUGGUUAGGCCAGGGUGUGACAUGGGUGAUUUAUGUGAUUUGUUUUGUCUAGGGGUUUUGUAGUUUAUGGGAUUGUGUUUAGUUAAGUAUUCUAGGUAAGUCUAUGGUUGCCUGGAGUGGUUCUCAAUCAGAGGCAGGUGGUUAUCGUUGUCUCUGAUUGGGAACCAUAUUUAGGCAGCCAUAUUCUUUAGGUCUCUUGUGGGUGAUUGUUCCUGUCUCUGUGUUUUGCACCAGUUAGGACUGUUUGCAGUUUUCCACGUUUUUAUAUUUUGUAUUAUACAUUGUUCAAGUUAUCAUCUUUAUUCAAGAUGUUUAUAAAUAACCACGCUGCGUUUUGGUCCGCCUCUCUUUCACCAGAAGAAAACCGUUACAGACACGCUGUUGUUGGUGGUUACAUGGUGGAUGUUGUUAGGUUCUAAAUAAACAGAGUAAAAACUCACGGACAACUAUAAAAAGCUCAAACCAAGUUUAUUCACCAAAUGGGUCAGACAGCUGAACAAACCAAGACAUAUUCACACAAGCACUGGUAUUUAAACGGUCGUCCCAUGCUGAGUCUCCUCCUUACACACCUGGACAGCCAAGCGACUUCAUGUGACCUGACCUUGGCCCAAAUUCCUCACUCCUCCCCAACUCAUGGCUGUUCUGUUCACUUGUACCACACUGUGGCCCUUCUCCUUUCCAUUUGGAUACCUGAUGUCUAACAGUAACAUGUUCUGACAAUGUAAACGUUUUGCAUUCCCCCCUCGCCCCCUCAGUAACAUUAGCAAGGAUAUUUCAAUUUUAGAAGUCAUACCCCAUCAAUGUGAUUCCUUGGGCUGUGGUUAAGUAGAGGGGAUGUGGAAUAUACACUACCGGUCAAAAGUUUUACAACACCUACUCAUUCAAGGGUUUUUCUUUAUUUUUACUAUUUUCUACAUUGUAGAAUAAUAGUGAAGACAUCAAAACUAUGAAAUAACACAUGGAAUUAGGUAGUAACCAAAAAAGUGUUAAACAAAUCAAAAUAUAUUUGAAAUUCUUAAAAUAGCCACCCUUUGACUUGAUGACAGCUUUGCACACUCUUCGCAUUCUCUCAACCAGCUUCAUGAGGUAGUCACCUGGAAUGCAUUUGAGUUAACAGGUGUGCCUUCUUAAAAGUUAACUUGUGGAAUUUCUUUCCUUAAUAUGUUUAAGCCAAUCAAUUGAGUUGUGACAAGGUAUGGGGGGUAUACAGAAGAUACCCCUAAUUGGUAAAAGACCAAGUCCAUAUUAUGGCAAGAAGAGCUCAAAUAAGCAAAGAUAAACGACUGUCCAUGAUUAUUUUAAGACAUGAAGGUCAGUCAAUCAGGAAUAUUUCAAGAACUUUGAAAGUUUCUUCAAGAGCAGUCGCAAAAACCAUCAAGUGCUAUGAUGAAACUGGCACUCAUGAGGACCGCCACAGGAUUGGAAGACCCAGAGUUCCCUCUGCUGCAGAGGAUAAGUUAAUUAGAGUUACCAGCCUCUGAAAUUGCACCCCAAAUAAAUGCUUCAUAGAGUUCAAGUAACACAAAUCUCAACAUUAACUGUUCAGAGGAGACUGUGUGAAUCAGUCCUUCAUGGUUGAAUUGCUGCAAAGAAACCACUUCUAAAGGACACCAAUAAGAAGAAGACUUGCUUGGGCCAAGAAACAUGAGCAAUGGACAUUAGACUGGUGGAAAUUUGUCCUUUUGAUCUGGAGUCCAAAUUUUAGAUUUUUAGUUCCAACUGCUGUGUCUUUGUGAGACGCGGUGUGGGUGAACUGAUGAUCUCCGCAUAUUUAUUUCCCACCGUAAAGCGUGGUGGGGCUGCUUUGCUGGUAACACUGUCUAUGAUUUAUUUAGAAUUCAAGGCACACUUAACCAGCAUGGCUACCACAGCAUUCUGCAGCGAUACGCCAUCCCAUCUGGUUUGCGCUUCGUGGGACUAUCAUUUGUUGUUGUCAACAGGACAGCCUGUUUAAGGGAUAUUUAAGGGACAUCAAAUGACUUGGCCUCCACAAUUCCCUGACCUCAAUCAAAUUGAGAUGGUUUGGGAUGAGUCGAACUACAGAGUGAAGGAAAAGCAGCCAACAAGUGCUCCGCAUAUGUGGGAACUCCUUCAAGAAUGUUGGAAAAGCUUUCCACGUGAAACUAGUUGAGCGAAUGCCAAGAGUGUGCAAAGCUAUCAUCAAGGCAAAGGGUGGCUAUUUUACAAAUCUCAAAUAUAAAAUAUAUUUAGAUUUAGAUUUGGUUACUACAUGAUUACAUGUGUUAUUUCAUAAUUUGGAUGUCUUCACUAUUAUUCUACAAUCUAGAAAAUAGUCAAAUAAAAAAAAAACUUGAAUUUGCCUGUGUUCUAAAACCUUUGGCCAGUAGUGUACAUUUAAUGAGUUGUUUCUCACUUCUUCCUUCAGGACAUGGCGAUCGUGAACUAUACCAUGACUAACUGAUCACCUUGCGUCACCCCAAAGACCUCUUUUUCAAACAGCAUAACAAUACACUUACAUUAGCUUGUUUAGUUGUCUUUCAGAUUCAUUCCUGUCUUUUCACUCUUUCAACAGUUCAUACACUAGAGCUACAGUAGCAGACUGGCGGCUCCUGGCAGAGCUACACUGUAUACUUUAUUAUCCUGUUAAUGGUUUUACCAUCACUGAGCAGGUCACAGAUGUCCUGAUGGAGAUGUUCCCAGAGACAGAACCUACACGCACUGGCAUUGCGUAAAUCCAGUUUCCCAUAAAACAACACUACACAUACAGAAGACUAACAAUUAGGGAAGAGUCACCAUUUAUAAGUGCCACCCGUUGGAGAACUAUCAAGGGUGCAGCGAGGCGACCAGUCCAGUUUAAAUUCCCAGAUCUCCCUGCCAGUCUCAUGACCCUACAGAGACAGGCAUUGGAGAGCCGCCUGGUGCCUCUGUUGGUCUAGAUCCUGGUCUUCCUCAUCUUGACUUGCCUCUUCUACCUCAUCUACGCUGCCAUGGAAUACAGCUUGGACCAACCCUCUGUGGCCUUGCUGGACAACCUCAGUAUGGGGACGGAGACUCCAGCCUGACCCCUAGGACUCAUCUGUACACCCUCUCUAGGGAGUAGUAACUCCCCUGCUCUAGCUAUGUGUCCUGAUUCUCCACCCUUCUCUUAAAGGGAGAAAUAUUUUCUUGCAUGGAUUUAAUAAUGGAUAAAACUUAAUCCGGCCAAUGCUUAUACCAAUCCUAAACUUUCAAAUCCGUGAUGAGAAGUAGUGCACCCUUCAGGAAAGAUAUGGACAUUCGGGAUACUCCACAAAUUGUUUUAGUUGUUGUGAGGCUAUUAAUUUGGUUACCGUAAUUCACCUUUACUCUCUGGAUUAAGUCACUCUUAACCAAGCAAGAUAGCCAUUAUAAUACUGUUUUUUUUGGAAAAUGUUCAGGUGAAACUACUGUUCAAAUAUAUACUGUGAUGGUGGAAGUGCAGAAAAUAAAAUGUGAUUUAGCCUAAUUUAGAGAAAUAAUAACAGUUUGAGAUUUGUGUAACUUAAUGGAAGAUGUUUCUGUAUUUAAUUACAAGUAUGUAUCAAUUAAAAAUGUAUGGAGUUACAGCUACAAUUUACACGUUGGUUCGGUUGGGGACCAGUCUGUGUUAGAGCCAGUGGCGAUGUUAGCAUGUAAAUCUUGGUAGGGCAAAGAAACUACACUACAAAACACAACACUAAACAAUCUGGGAUGCAAACUAGUCACCUUGUGGCGAAAUUUGCCGUUUUGAAUCCAAAAUAGGUGACCUACGUGAUUUGUGUACAUCCA